rnacentral:rRNA from 2 species
ACGAGUUCCCGUUGAUUGACGUGCUUGCACUGAUUUCAACAUUGGAACGAGUGGCGAACUGGUGAGUAACACGUGGAAAACCUGCCCAGAAGCAGGGGAUAACACUUGGAAACAGGUGCUAAUACCGUAUAACAACAAAAACCGCAUGGUUUUUGUUUGAAAGGUGGCUUCGGCUAUCACUUCUGGAUGGUUCCGCGGCGCAUUAGCUUGUUGGUGGGGUAACGGCUCACCAAGGCGAUGAUGCGUAGCCGACCUGAGAGGGUAAUCGGCCACAUUGGGACUGAGACACGGCCCAGACUCCUACGGGAGGCAGCAGUAGGGAAUCUUCCACAAUGGACGCAAGUCUGAUGGAGCAAUGCCGCGUGAGUGAAGAAGGGUUUCGGCUCGUAAAACUCUGUUGUUGAAGAAGAACGGGUGUCAGAGUAACUGUUGACAUCGUGACGGUAUUCAACCAGAAAGCCACGGCUAACUACGUGCCAGCAGCCGCGGUAAUACGUAGGUGGCAAGCGUUGUCCGGAUUUAUUGGGCGUAAAGCGAGCGCAGGCGGUUUCUUAAGUCUGAUGUGAAAGCCUUCGGCUUAACCGAAGAAGUGCAUCGGAAACUGGGGAACUUGAGUGCAGAAGAGGACAGUGGAACUCCUGGUGUAGCGGUGGAAUGCGUAGAUAUAUGGAAGAACACCAGUGGCGAAGGCGGCUGUCUAGUCUGCAACUGACGCUGAGGCUCGAAAGCAUGGGUAGCGAACAGGAUUAGAUACCCUGGUAGUCCAUGCCGUAAACGAUGAGUGCUAG